rnacentral:pre_miRNA from 1 species
CGUAGAAUGUUUCGAGAUUUGUUGAUUUUUUUCGGUGAAAUUUUCACCGGUGAAUUUCACCGAAAAAAAUCAACAAAUCUCGAAACAUUCUAC